UAGUAAUACUUAGGCAAUCUACCUUCGGUUCCGGGACAUGCGGGUGAAAACCCGUGCAAUACUGGACGUCUUUGCGAGGGGGCAUCUCUUUGCAAAGAAAGCUACGGCGACCGAAGAGGAGCUUAAGUCCUAUCAGGUAGUUGGCGAGGUAACGGCUCACCAAGCCUUUGACGGGUAGGGGGUGUGAGAGCACGAUCCCCACCACUGGCACUGAGACACUGGCCAGACACCUACGGGUGGCUGCAGUCGAGAAUCUUCGGCAAUGGGCGAAAGCCUGACCGAGCGACGCCGCGUGGUGGAUGAAGGCCUUCGGGUUGUAAACACCAAUCCCUGGAGAGCAAUUUU
rnacentral:rRNA from 1 species